GAUCAGCAACGAUGUGGCUGAUCAGUGUUCAACCCCAGUGAUGGAUCAAGCCCAACUAAAACUGUGAAUAAUUUAUUCAAUAAUUGCUAUCAACAGGUAAUUCACUGGGCCAACUAGUGCAACAAUUUCAGAUGGCUCUAUACCAUCAUGCCCUCAGUAGUGAAGCUCCAUUAUAUGAGCCAGCAGCAAUGAAAGCGUUCACAUAAAAACACUCUCCAGGUCUGUUUGAAAUGCUUUUAAGUUAAAAAACAAGGGAGGACUCCAGACUCUCAGAUGAACAUCAAGCUGUACAGGAGCAAAGAACUGUUGUUCUCCUUCACACACUGGCAUAUUUCAGGUCUCAGAAAACUUCCACCCUACAAAAGGAUGAAGGGCUAUUCCUACAACAUCAUGGUGCUUCUAGGACAGCAAUCAAUUCAGGAAGGAUACUUCAUUUCAGUACAAGUCCUAGAAAUAUUGAUUCUCACAAGAAAACACUAAUAACAAAAUAUCCAGACAUACUGAUGAGAAAGGUUAUCCUGGCAACAGAGAAAGGAUUCCUAAUUGUACAACUGUUGGAUGACUUCCAUAAUAUUUUGACUGUUAGACUACCAACAAAUCUGAAGCUAUCAUUAGCUACGCACAUGGCUAGUGGCCUACUGGACAUCCAUCCUUCAAUUCCUGCUGUUCCUAUUCCUACAAGAGAUACAAGACACAGCCGAGUGAUUGUGAAGAUAGGGAAUGAAAAUAAAAUUUGCAGAGGAGGAAUUGUUCUAGACUACAUAAAAGAGUUGUUUCAAAGACCAGUGUUAUCAA